UGCUGUGUAGCAUAGUGGUUUGAGUGCUGGACUAUGACUCUGGAGGCUAGGGUUCGAUUCUCUCCUCAGCCA
rnacentral:tRNA from 1 species